rnacentral:rRNA from 1 species
GAUGAACGCUGGCGGCGUGCUUAACACAUGCAAGUCGAACGAUGAUCCGGUGCUUGCACCGGGGAUUAGUGGCGAACGGGUGAGUAACACGUGAGUAACCUGCCCUUGACUCUGGGAUAAGCCUGGGAAACUGGGUCUAAUACCGGAUAUGACUGACUAUCGCAUGGUGGUUGGUGGAAAGCUUUUGCGGUUUUGGAUGGACUCGCGGCCUAUCAGCUUGUUGGGGGGUAAUGGCCUACCAAGGCGACGACGGUAGCCGGCCUGAGAGGGUGACCGGCCACACUGGGACUGAGACACGGCCCAGACUCCUACGGGAGGCAGCAGUGGGGAAUAUUGCACAAUGGGCGCAAGCCUGAUGCAGCGACGCCGCGUGAGGGAUGACGGCCUGGUGUAA